CUGUUAGUUCUGCUUGCAAUUUAAAAAAAUUGUUCUGGUAAUACUCUGUUCAACACUACAAGUAAUUCUGCAUGAAGAGAAAGCUCCAAAUAUUAUAACAACCAUUCAGCAUUUCCAAUGAUCUUAGAUCCAUGCUUGGUGUGAAAACUGAAAACGAGAGAAAGGAAAUGCUGUGGCCAGGUCCAUCUGAUACUGUGAAAUAUUUCUCAUCUUGAUUUUCUCCUGGAUAAGAUCCUGGAGCUUG
rnacentral:lncRNA from 1 species